CUACAGCAGAAGACCUGAUACGGUCUGCAGGGUACUUAUUAACCACUGUUCAUUUGUGGGAUCAAUAUUUCCAGCAAAGGAGUCAACAUUCAAGAUACACCACAAUGUCUGGCUCUUUUCUUGACACAACAAUUUAUUUUAUAAAUGCAUCUGCCGGAGAAGAAAAGGGAGCACCAAGCACUGUGUCUUUUAUCUCGGGGAUAUGCAAAGCGCAUUUAUUUUCAGCUUUUAUCUCUGGAAUUGUAUGUUGAUCCCAUACAUAUAGAUUGAUUUUGUUCAGG
rnacentral:lncRNA from 1 species